rnacentral:rRNA from 1 species
UACGUAGGGUGCGAGCGUUGUCCGGAAUUAUUGGGCGUAAAGAGCUCGUAGGCGGCUUGUUGCGUCUGCCGUGAAAAUUCACAGCUCAACUGUGGACGUGCGGUGGAUACGGGCAGGCUUGAGUUCGGUAGGGGGAGACUGGAAUUCCUGGUGUAGCGGUGAAAUGCGCAGAUAUCAGGAGGAACACCGGUGGCGAAGGCGGGGUCUCUGGGGCCGAUACUGACGUGAGGAGCGAAAAGCGUGGGGG